rnacentral:rRNA from 1 species
GACGAACGCUGGCGGCGUGCUUAACACAUGCAAGUCGAACGGAAAGGCCCUGCUUUUGUGGGGUGCUCGAGUGGCGAACGGGUGAGUAACACGUGAGUAACCUGCCCUUGACUUUGGGAUAACUUCAGGAAACUGGGGCUAAUACCGGAUAGGAGCUCCUGCUGCAUGGGGGGGGUUGGAAAGUUUCGGCGGUUGGGGAUGGACUCGCGGCUUAUCAGCUUGUUGGUGGGGUAGUGGCGUACCAAGGCUUUGACGGGUAGCCGGCCUGAGAGGGUGACCGGGCACAUUGGGACUGAGAUACGGCCCAGAAUCCUACGGGAGGCAGCAGUGGGGAAUAUUGCACAAUGGGCGGAAGCGUGAGGCAGCAACGCCGCGUGCGGGAUGACGGCCUUCGGGUUGUAAACCGCUUUCGCCUGUGACGAAGCGUGAGUGACGGUAAUGGGUAAAGAAGCACCGGCUAACUACGUG